rnacentral:rRNA from 1 species
UACGUAGGGGGCAAGCGUUGUCCGGAAUCAUUGGGCGUAAAGAGCGCGUAGGCGGUCCGGUAAGUCCGCUCUGAAAGUCCGGGGCUCAACCCCGGGAGGCGGGCGGAUACUGUCGGGCUAGAGUCCGGAAGAGGCGAGUGGAAUUCCUGGUGUAGCGGUGAAAUGCGCAGAUAUCAGGAGGAACACCAAUGGCGAAGGCAGCUCGCUGGGACGGUACUGACGCUGAGGCGCGAAAGCGUGGGGAUCAAACAGG